rnacentral:rRNA from 1 species
CAUUCGAGUGGCGGACGGGUGAGUAACACGUGGGUAACCUGCCUUACACAGGGGGAUAACACCUGGAAACAGGUGCUAAUACCGCAUAAGCGCACAGGGCCGCAUGGCCCGGUGUGAAAAACUCCGGUGGUGUAAGAUGGACCCGCGUCUGAUUAGCUUGUUGGCGGGGUAGGGGCCCACCAAGGCGACGAUCAGUAGCCGGCCUGAGAGGGUGGACGGCCACAUUGGGACUGAGACACGGCCCAAACUCCUACGGAAGGCAGCAG